CUCACUUUUACCCCCUAACUUGACCCACAGAAUGUAUCUACUAAUUAAAUGUCAACAGGAAACAAAUGUCUUCACGGAGUAAAAGCAGUUAUCUACAACAAUUUUGGUUUGUGGUGAAGGGGCAAGCAUGAAAAAAAAUCCACACACAGAAAGUCACAUACAUUUUAAAACAACAUUGUAAACUUGUGCGUGGCCACCCAGACAGGGACAGAAGUGGCUGGAGACACACAGUUUCUCAGAUUCAAUAACCUGUGGGGUUCGGUUCUGCUGCAGUCGAGCAGCCCUCAGGUGGGACGGCUCCUGGGCUCCCAGCAAGGAGAAGUGCAGCUGUGUAUUUGCUUGCUCAGUCCUAGUCCUGAGAUGCACCUCAAAAGGUAAGUGAAAUCGUAUAUGCAAGUGCCUCAAUUUGUACAAUAGCUGGAAACUCUCACACUUCUUCUUGCUCCCCUGUAUCACCUUCUCAAUGAACCAUUUUUUAUUUUUAUUUUUUCCCCCCACUAACGAUUUAGAAGGAUACCUAGCUCAGAGAGAUCCCCAUAGCCUGGAUGGCUGACUCCAAUGAAAGAAGAAACAAAAUACCUGAAGGGCAGAGGAAAACCUCCCAUCCCACUUGGCACCUGGGCAUUGGAAAAGUGCUGAUCCUCUCUGACCAAAACGCUUUUAGAGGCAACCCACUCCUGGGCACUGUCUCAACCUUUGAGGAAAUCACUUUCCACUGCAAACACUGACUGUAGUCACUGCAAUAUAUUUAUUCCUCUCAUCUGAGGAUCCCCCACAUGCUUUGAGGUAUUUGAGUUCAUGAGUGGGAAUACCAAAUAUUAUUCCUGUUUCUCAGUUCCUGUACGUCAGUUGGCUCUUGGACGCCCUCCCUCUAUGUCGUGGUGUCAGUGAGGAUGAGCGAGGCUGCCCUUUGGCCAUACCACUGUUUGGUUUAAAACAUCAGAUUUGGGUCUUGCUAAAAGCACCUCCCACCAUUGCUGUCCUUGUUUUCCAAAGUAAACAGCCUCUGGCGUCUUGUGACCUGAACAGCCCCAAGUGUCUGACCUUGAAAAACAAAAAAUAUUUCAUUUGCAAAGAAAAUCCGCAGCCAAAAUGAUUCGGGGCACUGCUUUCCUUCCUCAGCAGGAUGUUGGAAUGUCCAGGCUCUGGUAGGAUCUGCUUACCUGCCACAGAAACACACAGGAACAUAUUUGCUCUCUAAUGAUAUAUUAGGCAAUGGUUUUGAGUUGGCAGCCACUAAAAGCCGUAGCCAAACAAAGAUAAAAUUGUGAUUUAUCAAAAGAGAAUACUGAAUUCAAGGCCACUUGCGACUGGUGCUAGCCUGCAUACCUGAAGUUAGGAAGGAGAUGAAAUGAUCACCUUUUCCAAGAUACUGUGCCUCAGGGCUGAAGCAGCAAAGGUGUUUGAAAGCUUGCAAAGAAGGAUGUGGAAAUGGAGCAAUACUGAUGCAGGAAGAGAUGUAAUUGGGUGGCAUCACAGAAGAAUGCAGAAGUGCCUGUGCUUCAGCUGAAAUGGAUUGCUCCUACAUCAAUGAACUCAGCCUCGUCAUCACUGAUGCUCACAGGGAUGCUGCCACAGUGAUUUCUGCAAACCAGCCCCAGCACCACCUCCUUUCACAGAAAACAACAAGUGAACAGCAAAGAAACCACCAGGGAUGCCAGCUGCUACAGAUCCCAGCCAAAUGUGGUGUUCUGGAGGUGAAAGGAUCUCUACACCAUUACAGAGCUUCCAAGUUUCCCAGUCCCAAGGGUGUGCUUUCAAGGGAAGCAAAACCUGUUUCAGAUCACGCCAGAUAUUUUCUUCCCUGCCCAGCAGUUACACCUGAGGAUGUUCUCCAGAUGUUUGUGUUUGUAUGAAACAUACAAUAAUAAAAUUGUAAACCGGAGAAGACAAUACCCAGACUGCAAGAAGGAGCUGCCUGGGAAAGCAUGAAAAUUAACCAGCCCACACACAAAAUCAACUUGUUCACAUCAGUGGGAUGAUGAAGACAUAUUUUAUUGGCCUUUCUGAAGAACCACCACUUUUCUCUGCAAGUGGGCACACAAGAUUUGCCCAGUUUCUCCUGUUGCCAGUGGGGGACUGUUUGUUUUUGGGGAGCAGAUUCCUUGCACCUGGGCAGAUGGAGUCUGAAACAAUGUGAAGCCCAAUUGCAACUACAGUGAAAAAAAUGUCAUUCUCUGGAGUGCCAGCUUUGAAAAAAAACAAAAGAGAAGAAAAUCCCUGCAGCAAGUGAAAAGUGAGGUGGUGGAAACAGAUCUGCUGCACGAGGGCAGUAAAAUUUCCUGGCCAGAAGUUAGACCUCCGAUAUCAUCUGUACUGAAACCACAAAGAGUACCAAAUGAGAGUGCCCUGCCUAAGACAUCCGCAGAGUGAAAUGUCUGCAGUGUUCAAAAGCUGUCUAAUACGAGACGAAUAAAACAGGAGUUUGAAACUGGAAGCCUUUUCUCUUUCAUUUUCUGGAACUGCUUCUCCUUUUCUACUGGGCUAUGCUGGCUAAGGGAAAGGACUGAGCAGGCUGGCUCAGAGUCCUAGAAGGUCUCUGGGGAAAGUGUCUGAGUGUACUAUUUCUGCUUAAUUUGGACUGCUCAAGCAGGCCCUGAUCCCAAAAACAUGUGGACAUAACGGAGACCUUUUUUCUUAGUGCCUUUAAUAUUACACUGGUGGCCUGUAUAACGAUUUCAGGACAUCACAUGCCUAAACUGCACAGAGUUUGGCCAUUUCAGUGAUUUCACCAAUUGUGGUUAUGUUUAGUAGUAUUAUCUUGCCUUUUAUUAAUAAAUUAAAAAAAAAAAAAGACUGUAAAAGCAAUGCAGCUGCUGAGUGCUAUUGUGGCUCUUAUCUGAAAGGAGUAGUUGGAGCUGUAGUAUCCAUUUCUCUCUGUAACAAAAAGGGAGCAAGGAGUGAGGCUGAAAUGCAACCGUUCAAAUAUGCCAGAUUAAACGUUUUUGCAGGUUUAUUUUGGGACCUGUAGGUGGCCUCAUCUUAAUAGUCAAUAAACCAAGAACUGUUAGUUCAGUUUAUCAACGAACUAAGCAACACUUUCUCUUCUUGCUCUACUGAAUCUGGAUGCUGAUGAAUUUGCUUUCAGUGCAGCUUACAGCUUGCCAUUUCAUUCUCUAUGCAGGAGGGGACAGUGAAUACUGAUUUCAGUGCUGGAAGUGUGGACGUCUGUUUUGUCUGUGCCCUUACAAUCUUUCAAGGUUGCAAAGAGAGACCAUGAAGCUCUGAGUCAGGACCAGUAGAGCAACCUGUAUCAACUGCUUUGCAUUCCGUCACAGACCACAGGUGAAUAAGCAGAGAACAGCUGACAGUGUGUGGACAUCAACCAUGGGCAUUUUGUAACGUGCUGAGCCAUAAGAACAAUGAAUGUAAGUCACAUAUUCAGUUAGAAAAGACUUCAUCUCGUUGCUUAAACCAAUUCAGUUGGCUGAAAGACUGCAAAACAAGGUAAGUGAACCAAGACUGAGACGUUUCAGUACAGCCAAUCGACCACCAACAUCCAUACUAUGCACCACAUUUGGGAUGAUGAGUUCUUCAGCAUCACUUCAUCAGAAGCACUGACUUAGCAUGUUGUCUUACUGAGCUGAGGGAAAAAGUCAUUAUUUGGGAUGGAGAAGAUAGGGAAUAAAAUGAGACUUAGCUCAUGCUACAGAAAGUUCUUUUGUCACUGUUAAAGGGGGCAAUAACGCCACGUGCCUCAUGUGAGCGUGCUGGGCAGCCCUCACUCCAUGCACCACUGUGACUUCUGUCUUGCAUUGGGCAUGGCUGGGUGCUUCAGCUGUACCUUGCUUUUCAACAGGAGAGGACAAAGCUUUUGGACAUCACUUACCAGUAAGUCUGAGAGGCUCAAGUUCUUCACAACAAGUUCCUGCUUCCUUCCUGCAGCAAUGUCUCUGCUGUAUAACCCCAGAUGCGAGUCUACCACUGUCCAUAUGGACACAUGUGCUAUAGCUGCUGUGUUAAGGCCCCAGUUUAACAAGUUUACAUACACAAAAUGUACUUUUUUAGUGGGGUGCCCAUCACAACGUACCAUUUUGCUAGGUACCAGUUAGUCCAUCAGUUUGGGAGCACGACACCAUCACAGGUCUGAGAGGGAACUACAGGCUGAGAAGCAGUAUUAGAAGGGAGUAAGUGUUGGACUAAUGAACAUUCUACUAAGGUGGUAAAAUAAGUCCUAAUUGUGUCGUAAGACAUCCAGCAUGUGAAUUAAUCUUACAGUAACUCCUAAGUUCCUGUGAGUAUAAGCGUGGAAGCAGGUUUGAGAACAGCUUGCAAGCUCUUCCCCUUCCUUGUACCCAUUUUCCAGACCCACCACUGAGCCGAUUUACUGAGUAGCACUACCCUGCUGUCCACCGUGUAUUCCCAACUUGUGUCCUUACAGACAAAGCUUUGCCAAAACCCAACUAGCCAGCCAAAUUUCUUGGCUGCAGAUCGAGCCCAGGCACUGUGGGGUGCCUACAGCUCGCAUGCCACUUGCCAGCCCCCACAUCAAAUCAUCUGGAAGCAGACAAAACUUUUGUUAAGGUGAAAGCUGAGCCCUUUUCUAAACAUUUCACUGUUUACUAGGCCUGGAUGUUUGCGAUGCUUACCCAAUGGACAGUAAUGCAAGGAAAUGUGGGACCCUGUGGUCUUGUGCCCCUACCAAUGGUCUUCCUGAGACAAAGGGAUGCCAUACAAUAUUUGCAGUUCAGAGAAUGCAAGAAAGAUCAGCUCCUGGGCUGCAGCUGGGAGCACAUAAACCUGCUGCAAAAACAAAUAAAUGAGGAAGGACAGUGAGAUUAUUUAUAAAGGAAUUUAUUUUAUAUUUGUGUACAACAAAUAUAUGAAAACAAAUUUAAUUUGAAAAACGUAUAUUUGAUUUCUUAAAAGUAUUGAACUCUUUUAAGGAAAGGUUUCAGUUAUUAAAAAGGUACUGAAGCUAAAAUUAUACUUGGAUAGAUAUAUGUUUGUGCACGUAUAUAUAUACAUAUAUAUAAAAACGUGCAAUUUUUUAUAUAUAUAGUAUAUAUAAAUAACGUGUGACACAGUAUUUUAAGGUAUGCUAUUUAAACAUCUGAGUAACAACAGAGAUAUUAUAAAAUAUAGUUUGCUAUUUCUACACAAUUUGCAUUUAGUUUUCAUAAGCAUCUAGACUGUGCAAAAUGUAAAGAUACAGAAAUACUCUCCUAUUGUUCUAUAUGUUGUGCUCUAUUCCCAAAUUUCCUCUGGCAUGAUCAUAACCAGACCGAACCAAAUUUGGAGGGUUCAACACUAGCCCUUCCUAGCAUCUUCUAAAAGCAAUAAAAGGAAAUCUGUCUUGCCUUGCCCUGUGCUGUAGUAUAGUUUGCACACAAGAGAGAACAAUGCAUUUCCUAUGUUAAAUGGUCUAACUCCCAGAGAUCACAUACACCUCACCAUAUUGACUCAUUUCAUUGCACUCCAUAUCCUGCAAAAAUAAAUCUCCUGUAGGACAGCACACAUUACUGCAUACUGAAGUUCAAGCAAUAUAUUUCUUUAACAUAAGGCAGAAAUAGACUGAAAUUUGAUAACACUUAAAUCCAACAGCAAUCUGGAAUUAAACCACAUUUACGUACCACAUUUUUAUAGAUGCUGCCUUUUUUACGUUUAUGUCAGAAAAUGUGGUCGAGAAAACCUACUUUUCUUUAAAUAAAAGCGAGGGAUCAGAGCAGCCCUUCUCUAAGAAACUGCUAAAAACCGACGGGACCAGGAGGAACUUGACUGCCUUGAAACAGCACAGGUCAGUCCGCAGCAGCCUUGUUAGUAGCUAUUCCCUGUAUGACAUCUGGGGGAAUGCUCAUGCAAGUAGGUGCUCACUGCACUUUCAGCUCUAAGUAUUUAUCAUCUGAUUUGCAUGUAGUCUAAGCUAAGGUACUGUAUGCUUUUUUCAUGCAUUUGUUAUUUGUAUUGGCAAUUCUGGCCAUUCUGCAUGCUUUUACAGUUGCUGUAUUUUAACAGAAGUAUGUUCGUACUCUAGGAAAUGUGUUUAUUAUCACCGACAUAAAAACCUCAAUCCUGCUUCCAUAAAAAUCAGUGGUUGUUUUGCUCCUCCUGGAAAUAAAACUGGAUCCAAAUAUGUUAGACACACGGUUUGCUAAUAAAAGUGAAUACUGUAUUCA